UUAAGAUAUACACCAAUAAAAGUAUUUUGUUCCUAAGAACGUUUCCCCAUUGAAAUUAUUCGGAACUCAACUUUGAAUGUUCAAGAGCAUUUCGAUGUCUAACUGCAUUGGAUCUUCAGAGGGACAAUUAACUAGCUUCUGUUACUGACAUCGAAUAUCAGAGAGAGAAGAAAGAGAGCUACACAAAAGAGAGUACGAAGCCGGUACACCUUUUCAGCCGAAACAUUUUCUCUGAUGGAAGAAUUGAAUCCACGACUGUUAUUGUGAGAAAGCCUAAAAGCCUAUCCACUAGGCCACGUUCCCUAGCACAUACAUAUAUGUACAUGUGUAGAUGGCACGAAUGUUUAUAUGAAUGUAUAUAUUUUUUUUCAUUUUCUGAGAGUGAUGUUACUGAGAGUGAUUUCCUUGGUACAUUUAACAGCACGAAAACCAUGAAACUGUAGCAGAUCAGGGUUUGUUAUUGGGACACCGUCACGCCGAAACAUUACAAAGAUAUAUUUACAUUGUUUACAUUAUUUACAUUCGACGGAUAUUUGUCCCCAUCUUGUUUGUAGUUAACG
rnacentral:lncRNA from 1 species